ensembl:lncRNA
GUUAAAGUCGAAACCAAUUGAUCAUCGAUAUUCUCACGUUUAUCGCAUCUGUGGUCUUUCCAUGACUGUUUUCGACACAGUCGUACAUAGUACGCCAUCGUUUAAUCGAAUAAUAUUGCUGUUAAUGUGUGGUUUGUGUAUAUGUAUAAAUAUAGCGUGUUAAAAUAAUUCUCCAUCCAUCCAGCCAUCCAUCAGUGAUUCGGUGUUCGUCUGUGUAUGUCUGUGUGUAACAUGACAUUUGAAAGUAGCUACUAGUUUAUUUUGCCACAUUAACACAGUAAACAGAUACCGAUUUUAUGUUAACAUGCAUGAAGCGCACAUUCAUGUGGCAUCACGUGACGUAGUUUUGUAUGUUAUGUAUCAUGUACUUCCGGUGAGGUUUUGUAACAAUGAUUGUGCGCUUAUGUAAUUAUUCACAGCUGCACAAUAAAGACUGGGUUUGUUCGUUAACUGCAGCGGAUCUCAUUAUUUACAGUAAGAACAACAUAAAUUCAUUCACAUCCAUCAUGUUUACUGAUUGUUUCUGUACAGAUAGAUGAUUCAUAACUUAGUUCAGUGUUUCAAAUCUGCAAUGAUAAACAAAGUUUACGUCAACAUACUCUUCUAGUUAGUAUAAGUCAGGGCCCGACCACAAUAUAUGUAAGUAUUAUUUAUAUAUCUCAAUAUGUAUCAUUUAUAUAUUGCUUUAUGUAUUUCAUUUUAUUUAUAUUUUUAUCAGAAUAUGUCAUAUUUAUAUGUUAGUUUCAAAAUGCAUUUUAUUUAUAUAUUAUUUUUAUUACAGUAUUUUAUUGAAAACCUUCAGAUACAUUGAAAACAGAGUAUUGUCCAUUGACUAUGUAGGUUUUGGAGCUGACACAAGUAUCAUCUGAUGAUCUCAGAACAUAUCAUAUGUUUACCGUGGUAUAUGUGUGUUGUGUUCACUGCAGAUGACUGAGGUCAGGCGAGCCAUCUCUGAAGCGCUGUGGGGAAUGUGUGCAGCGGAUGCCAUGUCGAUGCCCGUCCACUGGUACUACAACACACAAGACAUCAGGAGGGACUUCAGUGGCUGGAUCACUGGAUUCACUGCACCGCGGAGCAGACACCCGUCCAGCAUCCUAAGCCUGUCCAGCACAGCUGGCAGUGGACGCAGAGCCGGAUCAACCGGAACCGCAGCUCCUGUGGUGGGGAACGUGAUUCUGCAUGAUAAGCUGAAGUUCUGGACGGAUCCGCGUGGAUCAGUGCACUACCAUCAGGGUCUUCACGCGGGUGGAAACACGCUGAACACUCUCUGUGCUCUGAGAGUUGCACGCAUUCUGUCCACUGGUGCUUUUGUUAGUAUGGCUGAUCCUGAAGCACGAGCCGCUGUACUGUCAGAUUACAUAGAGUUCAUGACGCGUCCCGGCGCACACAACAACACGUACGCCGAGUCUUUCCAUAGAAGCUUCUUCUCUGACUGGCAGGAACUCAGACCUACGUCCUCUAGAGAGGUUCUGGAGUUUGCGGAGCAGCGCUCCAAAUGCAUGUUGAGCACAUCCCGUGCUGAUAGCCAGCUGAAUGCUAUAGGAUGUCUUCCCAUGGCUAUUCCCUUUGUCCUGCUGUCUGCCACAGCCAAUGAGGAGAAAGCAGUUUCUGCAGCGGUGGAGUUUGUAAAGCUCACUCAUCCUCAUCCAGCACUGGAGCCGCUGGUGUCUCUGUACAUGCGAGCGCUUCACGCCACACUGAACGGAGCGUGUCUGAAACAACAGGCGGAGAUGGCGCUCAAAUCACCCGUGCUGGACACCUGGGACGUGUGUCAACACUUUAUACAGUGUGCAGAGAGGUUUCCAGGAUCAUCAGAGGAGCGUCUGAAGGUUCAUCAGAGUGCUGUGGAGUCUCUCGGACUCGCCUGCUACACACAAGGAGCUCUCAGCAGUCUCUUCUACCUGGCCUACAACUUUCAUAAUGACGUGACUGGGGGAAUCCUGACCAACACCAACUGUGGAGGUGAGAACUGUAACCGUGGGGCAGCAUUAGGGGCUCUGCUCGGGGCCCAGGCGGUGUAUCUCGGCUCAGUCGUACCACAGGAGUGGAAGGAUGGGCUGGUUGAAGCUCAGGGGCGAAUCACUGACAUCCUGCAGGAGCUGAACAGAUCCACAUCAGUCUGA